rnacentral:rRNA from 1 species
GGCGAGUUGUGAAUUGCAGGUUGGCGCCUCUGCGGCGGCGGCGGUCCAAGUCCCUUGGAACAGGGCGCCAUUGAGGGUGAGAGCCCCGUGGGACCGUUUGCCUAUGCUCUGAGGCCCUUCUGACGAGUCGAGUUGUUUGGGAAUGCAGCUCUAAGCGGGUGGUAAAUUCCAUCUAAGGCUAAAUACUGGCGAGAGACCGAUAGCGAACAAGUACUGUGAAGGAAAGAUGAAAAGCACUUUGAAAAGAGAGUGAAACAGCACGUGAAAUUGUUGAAAGGGAAGGGUAUUGCGCCCGACAUGGAGCGUGCGCACCGCUGCCCCUCGUGGGCGGCGCUCUGGGCGUGCUCUGGGCCAGCAUCGGUUUUUGCCGCGGGAGAAGGGCGGCGGGCAUGUAGCUCUUCGGAGUGUUAUAGC